UACGAGAGGCGCAAACGUUAUUCGGAUUUACUGGGCUUAAAGAGUUCGUAGGCGGCGCAGAAAGUAGGGUGUGAAAGCCCUCGGCUCAACCGAGGAAUUGCGCUCUAAACUACUGUGCUUGAGGGACCUAGAGGUGAGCGGAACUGAUGGUGGAGCGGUGAAAUGCGUUGAUAUCAUCAGGAACACCGGGAGGCGAAGGCGGCUCACUGGGGGUCUUCUGACGCUGAGGAACGAAAGCCAGGGGAGCGAACGGG
rnacentral:rRNA from 1 species